AAAUUGAAGAGUUUGAUCAUGGCUCAGAUUGAACGCUGGCGGCAGGCCUAACACAUGCAAGUCGAACGGUAACAGGAAGCAGCUUGCUGCUUUGCUGACGAGUGGCGGACGGGUGAGUAAUGUCUGGGAAACUGCCUGAUGGAGGGGGAUAACUACUGGAAACGGUGGCUAAUACCGCAUAACGUCGCAAGACCAAAGAGGGGGACCUUCGGGCCUCUUGCCAUCAGAUGUGCCCAGAUGGGAUUAGCUUGUUGGUGAGGUAACGGCUCACCAAGGCGACGAUCCCUAGCUGGUCUGAGAGGAUGACCAGCCACACUGGAACUGAGACACGGUCCAGACUCCUACGGGAGGCAGCAGUGGGGAAUAUUGCACAAUGGGCGCAAGCCUGAUGCAGCCAUGCCGCGUGUAUGAAGAAGGCCUUCGGGUUGUAAAGUACUUUCAGCGGGGAGGAAGGUGUUGUGGUUAAUAACCGCAGCAAUUGACGUUACCCGCAGAAGAAGCACCGGCUAACUCCGUGCCAGCAGCCGCGGUAAUACGGAGGGUGCAAGCGUUAAUCGGAAUUACUGGGCGUAAAGCGCACGCAGGCGGUCUGUCAAGUCGGAUGUGAAAUCCCCGGGCUCAACCUGGGAACUGCAUUCGAAACUGGCAGGCUUGAGUCUUGUAGAGGGGGGUAGAAUUCCAGGUGUAGCGGUGAAAUGCGUAGAGAUCUGGAGGAAUACCGGUGGCGAAGGCGGCCCCCUGGACAAAGACUGACGCUCAGGUGCGAAAGCGUGGGGAGCAAACAGGAUUAGAUACCCUGGUAGUCCACGCCGUAAACGAUGUCUACUUGGAGGUUGUGCCCUUGAGGCGUGGCUUCCGGAGCUAACGCGUUAAGUAGACCGCCUGGGGAGUACGGCCGCAAGGUUAAAACUCAAAUGAAUUGACGGGGGCCCGCACAAGCGGUGGAGCAUGUGGUUUAAUUCGAUGCAACGCGAAGAACCUUACCUGGUCUUGACAUCCACGGAAGAAUUCAGAGAUGGAUUUGUGCCUUCGGGAACCGUGAGACAGGUGCUGCAUGGCUGUCGUCAGCUCGUGUUGUGAAAUGUUGGGUUAAGUCCCGCAACGAGCGCAACCCUUAUCCUUUGUUGCCAGCGGUCCGGCCGGGAACUCAAAGGAGACUGCCAGUGAUAAACUGGAGGAAGGUGGGGAUGACGUCAAGUCAUCAUGGCCCUUACGACCAGGGCUACACACGUGCUACAAUGGCGCAUACAAAGAGAAGCGACCUCGCGAGAGCAAGCGGACCUCAUAAAGUGCGUCGUAGUCCGGAUUGGAGUCUGCAACUCGACUCCAUGAAGUCGGAAUCGCUAGUAAUCGUGGAUCAGAAUGCCACGGUGAAUACGUUCCCGGGCCUUGUACACACCGCCCGUCACACCAUGGGAGUGGGUUGCAAAAGAAGUAGGUAGCUUAACCUUCGGGAGGGCGCUUACCACUUUGUGAUUCAUGACUGGGGUGAAGUCGUAACAAGGUAACCGUAGGGGAACCUGCGGUUGGA
rnacentral:rRNA from 1 species